rnacentral:rRNA from 1 species
AGAGUUUGAUCCUGGCUCAGAGCGAACGCUGGCGGCAGGCCUAACACAUGCAAGUCGAAGCCCAGCAAUGGGAGUGGCAGACGGGAUAGUAACACGUGGGAACGCGCCCUUCGGUUCGGAAUAACUCAGGGAAACUUGAGCUAAUACCGGAUACGCCCUUACGGGGAAAGAUUUAUUGCCGAAGGAACGGCCCGCGUCCGAUUAGCUAGUUGGUGAGGGUAAUGGCUCACCAAGGCGACGAUCGGUAGCUGGUCUGAGAGGAUGACCAGCAUCACUGGGACUGAGACACGGCCCAGGCUCCUACGGGAGGCAGCAGUGGGGAAUAUUGGACAAUGGGCGCAAGCCCGAUCCAGCCAUGCCGCGUGGAUGAUGAAGGCCCUAGGGUUGUAAAGUCCUUUUAACGGGGAAGAUAAUGACGGUACCCGUAGAAUAAGCCCCGGCUAACUUCGUG